rnacentral:misc_RNA from 1 species
AACGCACAUUGCGCCCAGUGGUAUUCCGCUGGGCAUGCCUGUUCGAGCGUCAUUUCAACCCUCAAGCUCUGCUUGGUAUUGGAUGCCACCAGCAUGGUGCACCUUAAAAUCAGUGGCGGUGCCAUCUGGCUUCAAGCGUAGUAAUACUUCUCGCUCUGGAGGCCCAGGUGUCUGCUUGCCAAAACCCCCAUACUUUCUCAUGGUUGACCUCGGAUCAGGUAGGGAUACCCGCUGAACUUAA